AGCGAAAAUGUGGACUUUGGGUUAAAACACAUUAAACGUAAACAACAAUACAAGACACGGCUCGAAAUUAUUAUAAAGCGAGGAGAGUGAUUUUAAAGCAACCUAUUUUUUAUUUCAGAUUAAUAAAAAAAAUGCCAGCUGACAUUUUGCGGUGUUUGUGUUGGCUCAUCCCGCGGCGCAUAUUCGAGUUCAAGUGCGCAAGACUCGACUCGACGCAAACAAGCUGAAACUUGGUCGUCUAGCGCAACCUGUCUUUUGUGUACACAGCAGAAUCCCGAGUCGCUGAGAAAGUCAUCGCUGGCUUAACGUUUGACUUGUACUCCUAAAGUGCGCCGUCAAAAACUGCGUGUUUACUCGACAGAGCCACACACGCGCUCGGCAGAAACGCCUUCCUGUGAAGGAGCUGUCAGAUUCCUCCGGCGUGUCCCAACACACACUUCCUGUUGUGUCGCCGGGUUUGUUAUGGCAACGGGAUAUGAUCGUGUGUGUGUAUGUGUGUGUGCGCUGGAGUUUCGAGGUCUCAAAACGCUUCCAUUCGUAACGACGACGUCAUGCCUAAGCUUCCCUGGGGAAUGUUCAACAUUUCGGCUGAACGAUGUGACGCAACACGAUGACUCACAAUCUUUACCUGACGCUUGAAGCGAAUGUUAACAUUAGCAUCAUCCGAACACAAUGUAUUUGUUUGACACUCCUCAUACCGUCGUCAUAAUAAAGAUGAUGUCUCUUUAAGGCGUCGAGUAAAAAAAAAAAAAAGCAUGAUCUUUUCAAAGAGGGCUGCCCUGCUAAAGCCGUUGCCCCCGUGACCCAAGCACGGCGAAGCGGUAGAGAAUGGAUGGAUGGAUUUUGUUCAGUUAUUCUCUUCAGAUUGUGCAAGUGUACCUAAUGUUGUGACCCGUGAGCGAAUCAAGUCCUCAGUCUGCGCCCUGAGUGGCGUCUCACAGGGAUCAAUUAACCUCCUCACAUGGAAGUUAUUGCUCCUGUCAGAUUCGAAAUGAAGACUUCGCAAGUUGUAUGUACAGUACAUCUUUGCUGAGCUAAGAACUGAAACGUUGGUCACACGCUCGCAAACGGCAAACCUCGUACAAGUGCGGAACGCCUUCUUUGCAUUUUUUUUUUUUAACUGUGCACAGUUAAAUGUGGCCAGUAAAAUGCAAAUUAGCAGCAAUCACCACCCAAGCUUCGUCAAAAAAGGAUCCUCAAUUGUGUGUUCCUGUCUGAGGUUUUUUUGUUUUUUGUUGUUUUUUUUUUACAUGCUGAACCAAAUGUUUUGACCUUAGAAAUUACUCGUCGUUAUACUUUGUGUACGUCAGACAUCUGAUGGACUUCAAAUAGCGGAAUAAGCAAGCCCCGCCCACCGCUCUCAAAUCCAUUUCGAAGUCCCCGUUAACGCCCGACUUUGGAGUUAUGUUCUCAAACUGCUUCACAAGCCCGUUUCCGUCCUGGAUAAAUUCACAGCGUCAACUGCGCAGCAGCCAUCUUCAUCAUAGGAAUGGAAACGAUGUUUCCAUUCAAGCCUAUAAAAGCAGCUCCCUGUUUUGUUUUGUUUUUUUACAGACAACACCCUCUCUAUGGAGGCUUUUAUCCCCCUCCCCCGACUGCCGUCCAAUGUGACCGGCUGUCAACAUCGCCAAAAUGCUGACUCCACACAAUCCACUUUGAGUGGACUGUAGGGUAAAAGCGUCAGUGGGUGUGUCUCGGUGACCUUUGACAAUGGCUACGCACGGAACAUAUGGACGCAUGCGUGGGUGGAAUCUCAAGGCAGUCGGACAUGGACGCGCACAAAAUAGCAGCGAGGAUAACCUGAACGCCAUCAGACACCUUUGGGGAGGGGACUUGUCACUCAAUCAUAUCACCCCAAUUUUUUUGCAAUGGCUUGCAGGUUGUGAACAUGCACUUUCCGUGAUGUCAGCCUUUUUUUUAAACCCCAAACUGAGUCGAACUUUGUUCUUUUCAAGGCUAAAACUGGCUUUUAAGUGAUGUCGUCUUCUCCGACGUUUAAUCUUAUUCGUCU